UUGUGAUGAAGGGCUGGGAUCUGCCAUC
rnacentral:piRNA from 1 species